rnacentral:rRNA from 1 species
UACGUAGGGUGCGAGCGUUGUCCGGAAUUAUUGGGCGUAAAGGGCUCGUAGGCGGUUUGUCGCGUCGGGAGUGAAAACCUUGGGCUUAACUCAGGGCUUGCUUUCGAUACGGGCAGACUAGAGGUAUGCAGGGGAGAACGGAAUUCCUGGUGUGGCGGUGAAAUGCGCAGAUAUCAGGAGGAACACCGGUGGCGAAGGCGGUUCUCUGGGCAUGAUCUGACGCUGAGGAGCGAAAGUGUGGGGAGCGAACAGG